rnacentral:rRNA from 1 species
AUGGCUUGGCUAAGUUGGGAGAAAAUGAAACUACCCAAACUAAUGGGAGGCAUGGGUUUCAGGAAUAUGCGUGCUUUUAAUCAGGCGUUGUUAGCAAAACAGGCCUGGCAGUUGUUGGACAGCCCUGAUAGUCUAUGUGCUCGUUUAUUGCGCGCAAAGUAUUUCCCUAAUGGGAUUUGUUGGAUACAGUAUUUCCUAGCAGCUCUUCGACGGUAUGGAGAGGUAUUGUUCAUGGACUUGAAUUGUUGA